UGCAGCCAAGCAGGGCCUGGCCCCGGCCAAAAACUGCAAAAAAAAAAUAGUGGCUUUGAGGCUUGGUGCAUGUAGCUCAGCGGCUAGGGCGCCAGCCACAUACACUG